GUAACACAGCGCCACCUCCUGGCUGGCUCGCCACUAAUGUGUAACACUUUACACAACCUCUGGACUAAUAAAUUUAGAAAUAUCUCUGGUGAAUAAAACUCUAUUUACAAGGCAUCAAUUAUAACUCCUUUGGACUCUACAGGCCAAUUGCACCUCAGAAACUAUAGGAACGGCUCUCUGGAGAUGGGUAAUCACUGGAAACGCUGUCACAGGAAUAUAGUAAGAAAACACUUUUAAUAAAAUUUCCCCAGUUUAAGAAAAAGGCCUUGGAUAAAAAAAAGAAGAGCAAAAA